rnacentral:lncRNA from 1 species
GUGGAAAAGAACACAAGGAGGAAUUGGUGAGAACAUCUAGCUAGCAUCUCCAAGUCCUGUGGAGGGAGCCAGCAGUGCUGGUCCAAAGAGGACCCAGAGAGUGAACUCAGGUGAAUGAAGAUUAUCAAUGCAGUUUAAUUAAAAGUGUCCGAUACAAACCUCCUGGAAUGUGAACAAGCAUCAAAAAUGAAGAGG